rnacentral:rRNA from 1 species
UUGGCUUAGAAGCAGCCAUCGUUUAAAGAAAGCGUAAUAGCUCACUGGUCUAAUGACGUUGCGCCGAAAAUGUAACGGGGCUAAGCAUGCUGCCGAAGCUUUGAAUUCCGCGUAUGCGGUCUGGUAGGGGAGCGUUCUUCAUGGGCUGAAGGUGUGUUGUAAAGCAUGCUGGACUGUGGAGAAGUGAUUAUGCUGACAUGAGUAACGAUAAAACGGGUGAAAAACCCGUUCGCCGUAAACCCAAGGUUUCCUGGGUAAAGGUAAUCUUCCCAGGGUUAGUCGGCCCCUAAGGCAAGGCUGAAAGGCGUAGCUGAUGGGAAACGUGUUAAUAUUCACGUACUUGUGUGUUCGCGCGAAGGAGGGACGCAGGAAGAUAGGCGAUCCGGGUGUUGGAUUACCCGGUGCAAGCGAGUAGGCAUGGGAAGCAGGCAAAUCCGUUUCCCUGUAUGCUGAGACGCGAGUCCGUGGGCGUAAGCCCUGAAGUCGCUGAGUCUAUGCUGCCAAGAAAAGCUUCUAAGUUUAGAACACGCAAACCGUACCGGAAACCAACUCAGGUGGGUGGGAUGAAUAAUCCAAGGCGCUCGAGAGAACUCUGGCCAAGGAACUCGGCAAAAUAACCCCGUACCUUCGGAAGAAGGGGUGCUCCUUUAGGUGAAGCGAUUCACUUGUUGAGCCUGAGGGAGCCGCAGAGAAAUGGUGGUGGCGACUGUUUACUAAAAACAUAGGUCUGUGCGAAGUCGUAAAGACGACGUAUACGGACUGACGCCUGCCCGGUGCCGGAAGGUUAAAAGGAGGGGUCAGCGCAAGCGAAGCUCCGAAUUGAAGCCCCGGUAAACGGCGGCCGUAACUAUAACGGUCCUAAGGUAGCGAAAUUCCUUGUCGGGUAAGUUCCGACCUGCACGAAUGGCGUAACGAUCUCCACACUGUCUCGGCCAGAGACUCGGUGAAAUUGAAGUCGCGGUGAAAAUGCCGUGUACCCGCAGAAAGACGGAAAGACCCUGUGCACCUUUACUAUAGCUUGACAUUGGGAUUUGAACCUGCAUGUGUAGGAUAGGUGGGAGGCUGUGAACUCUGUACGCUAGUAUGGAGGGAGCCAUUGUUGAAAUACCACCCUUGUUUUUUCAGGUCCCUAACCCUCAGCCGUAAGCCGGCGAGGGAACAGUGUCUGGUGGGUAGUUUGACUGGGGCGGUCGCCUCCUAAAAUGUAACGGAGGCAUGCAAAGGUUCCCUCAGGCUGAUUGGAAACCAGCCGUCGAGUGCAAACGCAUAAGGGAGCUUGACUGCGAGAGAGACAUCUCGAGCAGGUACGAAAGUAGGUGUUAGUGAUCCGGUGGUCCCGAAUGGAAGGGCCAUCGCUCAUUGGAUAAAAGGUACGCCGGGGAUAACAGGCUGAUCGCAUCCAAGAGUUCACAUCGACGAUGCGGUUUGGCACCUCGAUGUCGGCUCAUCACAUCCUGGGGCUGAAGCAGGUCCCAAGGGUACGGCUGUUCGCCGUUUAAAGUGGUACGCGAGCUGGGUUUAAAACGUCGUGAGACAGUUUGGUCCCUAUCUUCUGUGGGCGCUGGAGAAUUGAAAGGGCCUGUCCCUAGUACGAGAGGACCGGGAUGGACGCACCCCUGGUGGACCUGUUGUCGUGCCAACGGCAUAGCAGGGUAGCUAUGUGCGGAAGGGAUAACCGCUGAAAGCAUCUAAGCGGGAAGCCUGCCUUAAGAUAAGUUCUCCCUGACGCAAGUCCUGAAGGGCCGAGGUAGACUACCUCGUUGAUAGGCUGGGGGUGGAAGCGCCGCGAGGCGUGGAGCUGACCAGUACUAAUAGCCCGUGAGGCUUGUUC